rnacentral:rRNA from 1 species
CACUCCUGCGGGAGGCAGCAGUGGGGAAUUUUGGACAAUGGGCGAAAGCCUGAUCCAGCAAUGCCGCGUGAGUGAAGAAGGCCUUCGGGUUGUAAAGCUCUUUUGUCAGGGAAGAAACGGUGAAAGCUAAUAUCUUUUGCUAAUGACGGUACCUGAAGAAUAAGCACCGGCUAACUACGUGCCAGCAGCCGCGGUAAUACGUAGGGUGCAAGCGUUAAUCGGAAUUACUGGGCGUAAAGCGUGCGCAGGCGGUUUUGUAAGUCUGAUGUGAAAUCCCCGGGCUCAACCUGGGAAUUGCAUUGGAGACUGCAAGGCUAGAAUCUGGCAGAGGGGGGUAGAAUUCCACGUGUAGCAGUGAAAUGCGUAGAUAUGUGGAGGAACACCGAUGGCGAAGGCAGCCCCCUGGGUCAAGAUUGACGCUCAUGCACGAAAGCGUGGGGAGCAAACAGGAUUAGAUACCCCGGUAGUCCCAUGAU